UACGGGAGGCAGCAGUGGGAAUAUUGCACAAUGGGCGCAAGCCUGAUGCAGCCAUGCCGCGUGUAUGAAGAAGGCCUUCGGGUUGUAAAGUACUUUCAGCAGUGAGGAAGUGGGUAUGUUAAUAGCAUAUUCAUUUGACGUUAGCUGCAGAAGAAGCACCGGCUAACUCCGUGCCAGCAGCCGCGGUAAUACGGAGGGUGCGAGCGUUAAUCGGAAUUACUGGGCGUAAAGCGCAUGCAGGUGGUUUGUUAAGUCAGAUGUGAAAGCCCGGGGCUCAACCUCGGAAUUGCAUUUGAAACUGGCAAACUAGAGUACUGUAGAGGGGGUAGAAUUUCAGGUGUAGCGGUGAAAUGCGUAGAGAUCUGAAGGAAUACCGGUGGCGAAGGCGGCCCCCUGGACAGAUACUGACACUCAGAUGCGAAAGCGUGGGGAGCAAACAGGAUUAGAUACCCUGGUAG
rnacentral:rRNA from 1 species